rnacentral:rRNA from 1 species
GGCUCAGAACGAACGCUGGCGGCGUGCCUAACACAUGCAAGUCGAACGCGAAAGGGGGCAACCCCCGGUAGCGUGGCAGACGGGUGAGUAACGCGUGGGCAACCUGCCCGGAGGUGGGGGAUAACCCUUCGAAAGGAGGGCUAAUACCGCAUGACAUCCCGGGGUCCUCGGACCCUGGGCUCAAAGCUGGCCUCUGUUUACAAGCCAGCGCCACCGGAUGGGCCCGCGUCCCAUUAGCUAGUUGGUGAGGUAACGGCCCACCAAGGCUACGAUGGGUAGCCGGCCUGAGAGGGCGAUCGGCCACACUGGAACUGAGACACGGUCCAGACUCCUACGGGAGGCAGCAGUGAGGAAUCUUGCGCAAUGGGCGAAAGCCUGACGCAGCGACGCCGCGUGGAGGAUGAAGGCCUUCGGGUCGUAAACUCCUGUCGAGCGGGACGAAUGCCGGGAGGGUUAACAGCCUUUCCGGUUGACGGUACCGCUGAAGGAAGCCCCGGCUAACUCCGUGCCAGCAGCCGCGGUAAUACGGAGGGGGCCAGCGUUGUUCGGAAUUAUUGGGCGUAAAGGGCGCGUAGGCGGCUGCUCAAGUCGGACGUGAAAUCCCUCGGCUCAACCGGGGAACUGCGUCCGAUACUGUGCGGCUUGAGUCCCGGAGAGGGUAGUGGAAUUCCCAGUGUAGCGGUGAAAUGCGUAGAUACUGGGAGGAACACCGGUGGCGAAGGCGGCUACCUGGACGGGUACUGACGCUGAUGCGCGAAAGCCAGGGGAGCAAACAGGAUUAGAUACCCUGGUAGUCCUGGCUGUAAACGAUGGGCACUUGGUGUUGCGGGUAUCGACCCCUGCAGUGCCGAAGCUAACGCAUUAAGUGCCCCGCCUGGGAAGUACGGUCGCAAGGCUGA